rnacentral:rRNA from 1 species
GUGGGGAAUAUUGGACAAUGGGGGGAACCCUGAUCCAGCCAUGCCGCGUGUGUGAAGAAGGCCUUUUGGUUGUAAAGCACUUUAAGCGAGGAGGAGGCUACCGAGAUUAAUACUCUUGGAUAGUGGACGUUACUCGCAGAAUAAGCACCGGCUAACUCUGUGCCAGCAGCCGCGGUAAUACAGAGGGUGCAAGCGUUAAUCGGAUUUACUGGGCGUAAAGCGCGCGUAGGUGGCCAAUUAAGGCAAAUGUGAAAUCCCCGAGCUUAACUUGGGAAUUGCAUUCGAUACUGGUUGGCUAGAGUAUGGGAGAGGAUGGUAGAAUUCCAGGUGUAGCGGUGAAAUGCGUAGAGAUCUGGAGGAAUACCGAUGGCGAAGGCAGCCAUCUGGCCUAAUACUGACACUGAGGUGCGAAAGCAUGGGGAGCAAACAGGAUUAGAUACCCGUGUAGUCC